UUCUAGCCCAGAUAGCAGCGGUAUCUCCCGAUUUUAAAAAACAAGGCUUUUUAGCUGUAGUUUUUUUGAUCGGGAAUAAAGCGGAUAGCUGGAAAAAGC
rfam:Flavobacterium sp. FPG59 Contig_292, whole genome shotgun sequence.